UUUUUAGAGCGAGUUUGAUCCUGGCUCAGGACGAACGCUGGCGGCGCGCCUAAUGCAUGCAAGUCGAACGAUCUUCCAGGUCUUCGGACCUGACAUAAGGUAGUGGCAGACGGCUGAGUAACGCGUAAGAGACCUGACCCGAGGAGGGGGAUAACCCAUCGAAAGGUGUGCUAAUACCCCGUAAGCUGGUUUACUGCAUGGUAGAUCAGGAAACGUCGUAAGGCGGCCUUGGGAGGGUCUUGCGUCCUAUCAGGUAGUUGGCGGGGUAAUGGCCCACCAAGCCUAAGACGGGUAACCGGUGUGAGAGCAUGAACGGUCAGAGGGGGACUGAGACACGGCCC
rnacentral:rRNA from 1 species